rnacentral:rRNA from 1 species
GACGAACGCUGGCGGCGUGCUUAACACAUGCAAGUCGAACGGAAAGGCCCUGCUUUUGUGGGGUGCUCGAGUGGCGAACGGGUGAGUAACACGUGAGUAACCUGCCCUUGACUUUGGGAUAACUUCAGGAAACUGGGGCUAAUACCGGAUAGGAGCUCCUGCUGCAUGGUGGGGGUUGGAAAGUUUCGGCGGUUGGGGAUGGACUCGCGGCUUAUCAGCUUGUUGGUGGGGUAGUGGCUUACCAAGGCUUUGACGGGUAGCCGGCCUGAGAGGGUGACCGGCCACAUUGGGACUGAGAAACGGCCCAGACUCCUACGGGAGGCAGCAGUGGGGAAUAUUGAAAAAUGGGCGGAAGCCUGAUGCAGCAACGCCGCGUGCGGGAUGACGGCCUUCGGGUUGUAAACCGCUUUCGCCUGUGACGAAGCGUGAGUGACGGUAAUGGGUAAAGAAGCACCGGCUAACUACGUG